GGUAACAGCCAAUGAUUAGCAAUGAAGGGUUUGUAGGAUGAAAAACACAGGAGUAGAAUUUGUUGCCUUUAGAACUCAACUCAUGAAUGCAUUCUCCCUUAUCCCCUGAUCCAACUGUCCAGAUUCUGACAAAGUCCUCACUCACAGAUGCUAUAUACUCGCCAGAAGGAUCCCAGCACAGAAAAUGAAUUGGUUUAACAUGUCCC
rnacentral:misc_RNA from 1 species